CCCUUAGAUGUCCUGGGCCGCACGCGCGCUACACUGACAUGUUCAACAAGCCUCCUAGUUCGACAGGAUUUGGGAAAUCUUUGAACGCAUGUCGUGAUAGGGAUAGAUCAUUGCAAUUAUUGAUCUUGAACGAGGAAUUCCUAGUAAACGCGAGUCAUCAGCUCGCAUUGAUUACGUCCCUGCCCUUUGUACACACCACCCGUCGCACCUACCGAUUGAAUGUUUCGGUGAAGAUUCCGGAUAGGACUUUUUUGAUUUAUUUCAAUUUUGUCUUAAAAGCUAUCUAAACCUCAACAUUUAGAGGAAGGUGAAGUCGUAACA
rnacentral:rRNA from 1 species